CCUACACACCUUGUUUCGGGUGCCCUUCACAGGGUGAAACGGGAAACCGGUGCGUCAUAGCGAUAUGACCAGUCCGGUGCUGCCCCCGCAACGGUAAGCGAGCGAAGCGUCACGGCCACUGUGCUUUGUGCAUGGGAAGGCGAUGCUUUCAGGACUCAGUUCAAGAGUCCCCUCGCAAGCCCGGAGACCGGCCCGAAAAAAAUCAUCUAAC
rnacentral:ncRNA from 1 species